UUGGAGGGCAAGUCUGGUGCCAGCAGCCGCGGUAAUUCCAGCUCCAAUAGCGUAUAUUAAAGUUGUUGCAGUUAAAAAGCUCGUAGUUGAAUUUCGGGGUUCUACCGUUGGUCGGGCAAUAGUCUGUACUGGCGUGUAGAAUUUCUACCUUCUGGGGAACUAUCAUGUUAUUUAUUUAGCGUGGUAGGAAACCAGGACCUUUACCUUGAAAAAAUUAGAGUGUUCAAAGCAGGCUUACGUCUGAAUACAUUAGCAUGGAAUAAUAAAAUAGGACGGUGGUCCUGUUUUGUUGGUUUCUGAAUCACCGUAAUGAUUAAUAGGGAUAGUUGGGGGCAUUAGUAUUCAAUUGUCAGAGGUGAAAUUCUUGGAUUUAUUGAAGACUAACUUCUGCGAAAGCAUUUGCCAAGGAUGUUUUCAUUAAUCAAGAACGAAAGUUAGGGGAUCGAAGACGAUCAGAUACCGUCGUAGUCUUAACCAUAAACUAUGCCGACUAGGGAUCGGAUGAUGUUAAUUUUUCAAGACUCAUUCGGCGCCUUACGGGAAAC
rnacentral:rRNA from 1 species